rnacentral:misc_RNA from 1 species
UUAACUAUUAUAUAGUACUCAGACGACACUAAUAUUCAGGGUUGGGGUCCUCUGGCGGGCGCUCCCCCGCCGAAGCCGGGGCGCGGCUAGGCCUCGUGGCCCGCCAAAGCAACAAACAUAGUAUUCAAGGGUGGGAGUUCUGACUCUUUUCAGGGCACAGAAAACACUUUAAUGAUCCUUCCGCAGGUUCACCUACGGAAA